GACGAACGCUGGCGGCGUGCUUAACACGUGCAAGUCGAACGGUGAAAGCGGAGCUUGCUCCGCUGGAUCAGUGGCGAACGGGUGAGUAACACGUGGGCAACCUGCCCCAGACUUCGGGAUAACUCCUCGAAAGAGGUGCUAAUACCGGAUACGAAGCCCCCAGGCAUCUGGGGGCUUGGAAAGGUUUUCGGUCUGGGAUGGGCCCGCGGCCUAUCAGCUUGUUGGUGAGGUAACGGCUCACCAAGGCGACGACGGGUAGCCGGCCUGAGAGGGCGACCGGCCACACUGGGACUGAGACACGGCCCAGACUCCUACGGGAGGCAGCAGUGGGGAAUAUUGCGCAAUGGGCGGAAGCCUGACGCAGCAACGCCGCGUGAGGGAUGACGGCCUUCGGGUUGUAAACCUCUUUCAGCAGGGAAGAAGCGAAAGUGACGGUACCUGCAGAAGAAGCACCGGCUAACUACGUGCCAGCCGCCGCAGUAA
rnacentral:rRNA from 1 species